UACGUAGGGUGCGAGCGUUGUCCGGAAUUAUUGGGCGUAAAGAGCUCGUAGGCGGCGUGUCACGUCGGCCGUGAAAACCUGCAGCUUAACUGUGGGCGUGCGGUCGAUACGGGCAUGACUGGAGUUCGGCAGGGGAGACUGGAAUUCCUGGUGUAGCGGUGAAAUGCGCAGAUAUCAGGAGGAACACCGGUGGCGAAGGCGGGUCUCUGGGCAACAACUGACGCUGAGGAGCGAAAGCGUGGGGAGCGAACAGG
rnacentral:rRNA from 1 species